AUAGUUGUAUAAGAAGACUCUUCAGGAAAAAAGUGAACUCAGAGUUUAUGAUGAAUGAAAAAGAAUAUCUAAUGAAUUAUAUUCCUGGAUACUAAAAAACAGUCUUUUGUUAAGAAAAAGAACCUGGAGUGGAACUGCGGGAGGAGCGGCUCCAGUCAGCUUUGUAACGACUGCUCUGCCCCGUGUCUGGUUGGUUCCUGAGGUCGCGGCAGCCUUGGGAAAUGCUGGCGUGCGCGGCGCGGGGCACUGGGGCCCUUUUGCUGAGGGGCUCUCUGCAGGCUUCUGGCCGUUCUCCGCGCCGCGCCUCCUCCGGAUUGCCCCGAAACACCGUGGUACUGUUUGUGCCACAACAGGAGGCCUGGGUGGUGGAGCGAAUGGGCCGAUUCCACCGGAUCCUGGAGCCUGGUUUGAACAUUUCUCAUCCCUGUGUUAGACCGGAUCCGGUAUGUGCAGAGUCUCAAGGAAAUUGUCAUCAACGUGCCUGAGCAGUCAGCUAUGACUCUUGACAGUGUAACUCUGCAAAUUGAUGGGGUGCUUUACCUGCGCAUCAUGGACCCUUACAAGGCAAGCUAUGGGAUGGAAGACCCUGAGUAUGCUGUCACCCAGCUGGCUCAGACAACCAUGAGAUCAGAGCUCGGCAAACUCUCUCUGGACAGAGUCUUCAGGGAACAGGAGUCCCUGAAUGCCAGCAUUGUGGAUGCCAUCAACCAGGCUGCUGACUGCUGGGGCAUCCGCUGCCUUCAUUAUGAGAUCAAGGAUAUUCAUGUGCCACCCUGAGUGAAAGAGUCCAUGCAGAUGCAGGUGGAGGCAGAGCGUCGGGACGGGCCACAGUUCUAGAAUCUGAGGGGACCCGAGAGUUGGCUUUCAAUGUGGCAGAGGGAAAGAAACAGGCCCAGAUCCUGGCCUCUGAAGCAGAAAAGGCUGAACAAAUAAAUCAGGCCUCAGGAGAGGCCAGUGCAGUGCUGGCCAAGGCCAAGGCUAAGGCUGAAGCUAUUCGCAUCCUGGCUGCAGCUCUGACACAACACAAUGGAGAUGCAGCAGCUUCACUAACUGUGGCUGAGCAGUAUGUCAGUGCAUUCUCCAAACUGGCCAAGGACUCCAACACUAUCUUGCUGCCCUCCAAUCCCGGUGAUGUCACUAGUAUGGUGGCUCAGGCCAUGGGUGUAUAUGGGGCCCUCACCAAAGCUCCACUGCCAGGGACCCAGGACUCAGUCACCAGUGAGAACAGCAGAGAUGUCCAGGGCACAGAUACAAGUCUUGAUGAAGAAUUUGAUCGAUUCAAGCUGAGUUAGUGGAAUUAGGCUUGGCAGGGAGCCUGGAGACAAAGAAGCAGUACUUCCAAAUUCUGGUUGUAGCCCCCCUGCCAAGGUUUUGGUUUUUAUUUUUUUAUUUGAACUUUAAUCAUGUAAUAAACACACUAUUGGUAAACCAGAAAAAAAAAA